ACGUGUAGUUGAGGCUCUGAGAUUCGUGGACAUUGGUGUUAGCCUUGUCGAGAGAGAUUCUCACAAGCGUUCAGAGUUAUGACCAGCAAUAGGAUAUGUUUUGGGUAGUAAUAGGUCAAGAGUCUUGGUGUAGAAUUUUAUUUUGAGUUGAAGAUAAAUUCAAUAUUUUGUAAUUACUAUAUUCUUAAUUAUUAAUUUCGAGAGAUCUAUGAUUUUAAUGUUUCA
rnacentral:lncRNA from 1 species